GAGCUCUUCUGCCCAGCAGAGCCCCUGGCAUUGACCUGCAUAGAUGAUGGACUUCCUCCCUCCAGAGGAAGACUUGUGUUGAGCCCGCUGACCCCAGGCCAGUGGCCAUCAGCCAGGUGCCUAACCCCCAGUGAGCUGAAACUUGGAUUCUCCUGGCUCCUGGUCUCCUGCAUUGAGCUUGUGAGCACUUCGGCCCAGCAGAGCCCCUGGCAUUAACCAGCACAGAUGGUGAGACCAAGGAAAUCUUUCACUGGGCCCACUGGUCUUGGACGACUGGUCGUCAGCCAGGUGCCCAGCCCUUGGUGCGCUGAAGCUCAGGCCCUUCCCAGCGUCCUGGUGUCCAGCACUGAGCUGUGGUGAGCACAUCUGGGUCCCACUGGAUGUAUCCAUGGGGAGGGGGGUGUCCUAGGUUGGGUCAAUGAUGAGAACCUUAUAUUGUCCUGAAGAGAGGUGAUGACUUAAAAAUCAUGCUCAAUAGGAUUACGCUGAGGCCCAGCCUAGGUGAGAA